CGGGAUAGCUCAGCUGGUAGAGCAAAGGACUGAAAAUCCUC
rnacentral:tRNA from 1 species